rnacentral:rRNA from 1 species
CCUACGGGAGGCAGCAGUGAGGAAUAUUGGUCAAUGGACGCAAGUCUGAACCAGCCAUGCCGCGUGCGGGAAGACGGCUCUAUGAGUUGUAAACUGCUUUUGUACGAAGGUAAACGCAGAUACGCGUAUCUGUCUGACAGUAUCGUACGAAUAAGGAUCGGCUCAAUCCGUGCCAGCCGCCGCGGUACUACGGAGGAUUCAAGCGUUAUCCGGAUUUAUUUGGUUUAAAGGGUGCGUAGGCGGUCGGCUAAGUUAGAGGUGAAAUCCCGAGGCUCAACUUCGGAAGUGCCUUGGAAACUGUGCGGCUAGAGAGUAGAUGCGGUAGGCGGAAUGUAUGGUGUAGCGGUGAAAUGCUUAGAGAUCAGACAGAACACCGAUGGCGAAGGCAGCUUACCAGGCUACAUCUGACGUUGAGGCACGAAAGCGUGGGUAGCAAACAGGAUUAGAUACCCUAGUAGUC